CAACCUCUCAAUAAUUCUAGGAAUAUCCUCAGAUCAGAAAUAAAAUUAAAGGUGGGAUGGCAGACAGUAAUUUUGACAGCAAUUAUUUUGACAGCAAUAUUUCUGACUACCAGAACUUGACCACUACGCAAGCUAAUCAAAGUCAAAUUGGGCAGAAUAAUACUGUCAUAGUGGUAUGAAAUCUACUUUACGUUCCAUGUAUAUAUACCUAAAAACUUACCAAGAUUGUUUCAUUUAUUUUAGUUAUUUUAUUGUUAUAUAAAAUAAAUAAAAAGUGUUUAACACCUCUCCAAUUAGGCAAAUUAUAUCAUGAACCAAGGUCCAUCUUGUAUUAUGGAUUUUAGUUCAAAAUGAUGUU